rnacentral:tRNA from 1 species
AGAAACUUAGCAUAGCCAAAACCAAAGGCCUUCAAAGCCUUAAACAAGAGUUAAACCCUCUUAGUUUCUG